GGCUGGGGGGGCGCUGGGUGUGGGGCGGCUCCGGGGCCGGGGAUGGCGGCGGCCGCUGUUGCGGCGGCUCCGGGACCAGCGGGAGGACCCCGGGGAGCGCCGUGAGAUGGGCCGGCUCCCAAGCCAGUGGGGAGGACACUGCUUCUUAUUACAGCUUCUCAGAAGCACCACUGGAAGCUCAGAUGUGGGCGCCCCAGCCAACAGCACAGAGGGGUGCAGGGGAGCCACAAAGAAGCCCCUUCUGAUGCCCCAAGGAGCAAGCCGACCCCUUCCAGGCUC
ensembl:lncRNA